rnacentral:rRNA from 1 species
AUGGCCGCCGCGUCGACUUUGUCUCCACCAAACCCCUGCCGACGACUAGCACCCGACGCCGGCAAGCAGCAGCAGCAACUCCCGCAUCCCCUCAUUCCCGAGCACGUUGAACCAUCGCCUCGUAAUUCCCGUGUUGAAGCACCACCUCGCGCGUCUCCGUCCUCGAGUAAGAGGUCGACCUGCUGCCGGCGACCGCGCCCUCCGACGACCUCCAUCGCCCAGGGCCCCGGUGACCUCUCCGUCCUGGCCUCCUCUGCCGCACCGGCGAGUGCGACGUGGGAGCACCGCAGGUCGCCUCGCGCGCCAAGUUCGCCUUCGCCGCUCUCCUGCAUCGCCGCUGCCGCCUCGAACCUCUCCUGCUUCGGCCUCCAAGUCCCGCUGCGCAGUCCCAUGCCAUCGCCUCCUUUGCAUCAAGCGGGAGGACGAAGAGCAGUGCCUCCCCUGCACUCGAGCUCCCCUGACCUGAGGCCGUCAUCCUCGCCCCCGCGCUGGUUCUGCGCCUUGCUGUCGCGCCGCCGCAAUGGUGGGUGCUGCCUUCUUCAGCUUCGCCCGCAAGCCGUCGCCGGACCCGCCUCCAUCGGCCUCUGUUCGGCACGCCGCUGCCGGGACCUGUGCGCCGCCUCACCGACCCACCGCCUCCCUGCUGCCAAGUCACAUAACGCGCCCGCGAAGACUCUGCCUGCAAUGCGCCGCUUUGUUCGUUCUCUACCGCGUCAAGGAGACGCUCAAUCUGGCCCCGUUGACCGCGAGCGUCAGCUGGGUCACAGUCGCGCCAGUCCCAGCGGCCUCCCCUUCAACUCCUGGGCUGAAGCCCAUGGUGAGGGCACCCCGCGCCCCUCCUUUUUUUCUCUCUCUUUCCCUCCUGUUGGGCCAGCCUGCUGUGUUUCCGCCCAUAGACGUUUUUUUUCCGUUCUGUGA